rnacentral:rRNA from 1 species
UGUAAGCGUAUACCAAAGUUGUUGCAGUUAAAACGCUCGUAGUCGGAAUUUGGCAGUUCCGGAAGUGUGCACGUCGUGUGCGCACUUUGCGGGGACUGCUUUUGUGGUCUUGCGUAGGAUGAGGCACUUUCAUUAGUGAACGUCCUCACGCAACCACUCUUUACUGUGAGAAAAUCAGAGUGCUCAAAGCAGGCAUUUGCCGUGAAUGUAUUAGCAUGGAAUAAUAGAAUAGGACUCGGUUCUAUUUUGUUGGUUUGUUGGGACUGAGUAAUGAUUAAGAGGGACAGUUGGGGGCAUUUGUAUUCCGGCGCUAGAGGUGAAAUUCUUAGAUUGCCGGAAGACAAACUGCUGCGAAAGCGUCUGCCAAGGAUGUUUUCAUUGAU